rnacentral:rRNA from 1 species
AUAUGGAUAUGUUAGUCACUUGUUGAAAGCUCUUUAUGCUCACCCCCGCUUUGUUGAUAAAUUUUUUCGGAUAGCAUAUUGCUUGCUUAAAUGUUAAGAUUGGGUGAGGCGGUGGAAAGUUUAGAAGAAUUUGGGCAGAUCCUUGUUAGCAUAUGUGUAUUUGUUGUAUAAGAUACUCUACAUCUUAUGAAAUGUGACGAUGAAUCUAAACCUGUGGAUUUUGUGUAAGAUAAAGGAUCCCUCAUGUAUAGGAUUUUGGAAUGUUAAGUUAAAUUCGUGUAAUGAUAUGAUCUUAUGGUAAUCGUUGGUUUGGUGACUGCAUAGACUUCCCCAUUUGUGAAUUUAUAUUAUGGUUAUUAUUUUGAUGAGUUGAGUUCUGAUUGUAUGAAUUAUCGAUUGAUGUGUGGUAUGUUUAUGAAUUGCACAGGGUUAUGAAUUUGUAGACUAUAGAGGUGAAAUUUUGAUAUGAAUGUUUUCUUAGUGACCUCAAAUGUGUGCUUGGAUCCUGGGUUAGUUAUGAUGAAAAUUUUAAAUAUUGUCGAUAUUUUGAGGGGCGUGACAUCCGGCGCUAUUACUUUGAAGAAAUUAGAGUGCUCAAAGUAAGCCCACGCUCUGGAUACAUUAGCAUGGGAUAACAUCACAGGAUUUCGGUCCUAUUGUGUUGGCCUUCGGGAUCGGAGUAAUGAUUAAGAGGGACAGUCGGGGGCAUUAGUAUUUCAUAGUCAGAGGUGAAAUUCUUGGAUUUAUGAAAGAUGAACCACUGCAAAAGCAUUUUCCAAGGAUGUUUUCAUUAAUCAAGAACGAAAGUUGGGGGCUCAAGACGCAUCGAUACCGUCCUAGUCUCAACCAUAAACGAUGCCGACCGAGGGAUCGGCGGGAUGUUGCUCUUAGGACUCCCGGCACCUUAUGAGAAAUCAAAGUCUUUGGGUUCCGGGGAGUAUGGUCGCAAGGCUGAAAACUUAAAGGAAUUGACGGAAGGGCACCACCAGGGGAGGCAGCCUCGCUGCUUAAUUUGACUCAACACGGGAAACUUACCAGUCCGCACAUAGCAAGGAUUGACAGAUCGAGAGCUCUUUCUUGAUUCUAUGGGUGGUGGUGCAUGGCCAUUCUUAGUUGGUGGAGCGAUUUUGUCCGGUUAAUUCCGAUAACGAACGAGACCUCACCGCUAACUAACUAGCUUCGUGGAGGCAUCCCUCCCGCCCGCCUUCUUAGAGGGACUAUGGCCGCUUAGGCCACGGAAGUUUGAGGCAAUAACAGGUCUGUGAUGCCCUUAGAUGUUCCGGGUCGCGCAUCGCCGCCACACCGAUGUAUUCAACAAGUCUAUAGCCUUGGCCGACGGGCCCGAAGUAAUCUUUGAAAAUUUCAUCGUGAUGGGGAUAGAUCAUUGCAAUUGUUGGUCUUCAACAAGGAAUUUCCUAAUAAGCGCGGUCAUCGGCUUCGGCGUUGACAACGUCCCUACCCUUUUGUACACACCGCCCGCCGCUCCCUACUGAUUGAAUGGUCCGUGAAGUGUUCGGAUCGAGGCGGCGGGGCGGUUCCGCCGCGUGACGUCGCGAGAAGUCCACCGAACCUUAUCCUUUAGAGGAAGGAGAAGUCGUAACAAGGUUUCCGUAGGUGAACCUGCAGAAG